UCCGUAGGGUGCGAGCGUUAAUCGGAAUUACUGGGCGUAAAGCGUGCGCAGGCGGUUCGUUAAGUCAGAUGUGAAAGCCCCGGGCUCAACCUGGGAACUGCAUUUGAAACUGGCGGGCUUGAGUAUGGCAGAGGGGGGUGGAAUUCCGCGUGUAGCAGUGAAAUGCGUAGAGAUGCGGAGGAACACCGAUGGCGAAGGCAGCCCCCUGGGCCAAUACUGACGCUCAGGCACGAAAGCGUGGGGAGCAAACAGG
rnacentral:rRNA from 1 species